UGCAGUCGAACGGCAGCACAGAGGACCUUGCUCCUUGGGUGGCGAGUGGCGGACGGGUGAGGAAUACAUCGGAAUCUACUUUUUCGUGGGGGAUAACGUAGGGAAACUUACGCUAAUACCGCAUACUACCUACAGGUGAAAGCGGGGGACCUUCGGGCCUUGCGCGAUUGAAUGAGCCGAUGUCGGAUUAUCUAGUUGGCGGGGUAAAGGCCCACCAAGGCGACUAUCCGUAUCUGGUCUGAGAGGAUGAUCACCCACACUGGAACUGAGACACGGUCCACACUCCUACGGGAGGCAGCAGUGGGGAAUAUUGGACAAUGGGCGCAAGCCUGAUCCACCCAUACCGCGUGGGUGAAGAAGGCCUUCGGGUUGUAAAGCCCUUUUGUUGGGAAAGAAAUCCAUCUGGCUAAUACCCGGUUGGGAUGAGGUACCCAAAGAAUAAGCACCGGCUAACUUCGUGCCAGCAGCCGCGGUAAUACAAGGGGUGCAAGCGUUACUCAGAAUUACUGGGCGUAAAGCGUGCGUACGUGGUCUUUUAAGUCCGUUGUGAAAGCCCUGGGCUCAACCUGGGAACUGCAUGGAUACUGGGCUACUAUAGUGUGGUAGAGGGUAGCAGAAUUCGUGGUGUAGCAGUGAAUGCGAGAGAUCAGGAGGAACAUCCAUGGCGAAGGCCCUACCUGGACCACACUGACACUGAGCAAAAAGCGUGGGAGCAACAUGAUAGAUCCCUGGUAUCCACGCCCUAAACGAUGCUACUGGAUGUGGUGCAAUUGGCACGCACUAUCGAAGCUACGCGUUAGUUCCCGCCGGGGAGUACGUCGCAGACUGAACUCAAGGAAUGACGCGGCCGCACAGCGAUGGAGUAUGUGGUUUAUUCAAGCACGCAAGAACCUACUGGCUUACUGUCAGACUUCCAAGAUGAUGCUGCCUCGGAAUCAACCAGUCUGCUGCUUCCACUCUGUCUGAGAGUUGGUUAGUC
rnacentral:rRNA from 1 species